rnacentral:misc_RNA from 1 species
GUACGUUGUUGGUAUUUACACUCAAAUGGGCCUUGUUCUUGGAGAUGCUCCAGGUGUUCUGCUUUUUAAAAAAGUGGAUUCCAAGCCAAUAUCAUGAGCAUAUAUUGUGUUUGGUCUUGUCGAAUACAAUGAGUAAUCACUUAAGUUGUAACCACUUUGUCCGACCAAUGCAUAUGUUGGGUGAGGUGGCGAAAGGAAACAGCUCUUGUGAGCUGAUCCAUAUUGUCGUAAAGGGCUAGAACAAGGGGAUACCGGUAAAGAUGUGAACAUUGAGUCAUCCCUCGCUUUCUUCAAUCCUCUGGUAUUAGUUAGCACUUGCUUCAUUGCAUAAUCUCCAUCAGACAAAGUUAAACUCGUUCUAUUGGAGUGGAGAUCUAUCAGAGGCGGCGUGUGGCUUCCAUCAAAAGUGUAU